rnacentral:rRNA from 1 species
GAUGAACGCUAGCGGCAGGCCUAAUACAUGCAAGGCGAGGGAGAAUGUUGGAUUCGUCUGACAUGAAACCGGCGCACGGGUGCGUAACACGUAUGCAACCUACCUUUAACUGGGGUAUAGCUCAGAGAAAUAGGAAUUAAUCCACCAUAAGACUAUGACAUGGCAUCAUGAUGUAGUAAAAGCUCAGGCGGUUAAGGAUGGGCAUGCGGUAUAUGAGCUAGUUGGUGAGGUAAUGGCUCACCACGGCUACGAUGUAUAGGGGGUCUGAGAGGAUGAUCCCUCACACUAGUACUGAGGCACGGACCACACUCCUACGGGAGGCAGCAGUAGAGAAUAGUGGUCAAUGGACGCAAGUCUGAACCAGCCAUGCCGCGUGAAGGAUGAAGGCCCUAUGGGUCGUAAACUUCUUUUAUUAGGGAAGAAAAAACGGGAUGCGUCCUGUACUGACGGUACUUAAUGAAUAAAGAUCGGCUAACUUCGUGCCAGCAGCCGCAGUAA